GGCUUUUUGAUAAUAAUUUAAAGUCUAGCCUGCCCACUGAGGAUUUAAAUGGCCGCGGUAUUUUGACCGUGCUAAGGUAGCAUAAUCAUUAGUUUUUUGAUUGAAAGCUGGAAUGAAGGGUUGGAUGAAAAAUGAACUGUCUUUAAUUAAUUUUGAUAGAAUUUUAUUUUUAAGUAAAAAAGCUUAAAUUAUUUUAAAAGACGAGAAGACCCUAUAGAGUUUUAUAUAAAACUUAUUUUUAUAUUUUAGGAUUUUUAUUUAAAAAUUAAUUUUGUAUUUGAUUGGGGUGAUUGAAAAAUUUAGUAAACUUUUUUAAAAUAAGUCCAUAAAUAAAUGAAAAUAUGAUCCAUAUUUAUUGAUUAAAAGAAAAAAUUACCUUAGGGAUAACAGCGUAAUUUUUUUUAAGAGUUCUAAUCGAAAGAAAAGAUUGCGACCUCGAUGUUGGAUUAAAAUUAAUUUUUGGUGUAGAAGCUAGAAAUUUUAGGUCUGUUCGACCUUUAAAAUUUUACAUGA
rnacentral:rRNA from 1 species